UCCUCCAACAAAGGCUUGUCCGUGGUUUCCUGUCCUUGGACAUGGAAGAAUUGGAGGCAAAGAGAUGUGGACUUGAAGAAGUCUGGAGUAGGCUUGCUCCCUACAGGCUCAAGAUCAUCCUUUACCA
rnacentral:snoRNA from 1 species